rnacentral:rRNA from 1 species
UCCCAGACUCCUACGGGAGGCAGCAGUGAGGGAUAUUGGUCAAUGGGGGAAACCCUGAACCAGCAACGCCGCGUGAGGGAAGACGGUUUUCGGAUUGUAAACCUCUGUCCUCUGUGAAGAUAAUGACGGUAGCAGAGGAGGAAGCUCCGGCUAACUACGUGCCAGCAGCCGCGGUAAUACGUAGGUGGCGAGCGUUGUCCGGAUUUACUGGGCGUAAAGGGAGCGUAGGCGGGCUUUUAAGUGAGAUGUGAAAUACUCGGGCUCAACUUGAGUGCUGCAUUUCAAACUGGAAGUCUAGAGUGCAGGAGAGGAGAAUGGAAUUCCUAGUGUAGCGGUGAAAUGCGUAGAGAUUAGGAAGAACACCAGUGGCGAAGGCGAUUCUCUGGACUGUAACUGACGCUGAGGCUCGAAAGCGUGGGGAGCAAACAGGAUUAGAUACCCGCGUA